AGCGAACGCUGGCGGCAGGCCUAACACAUGCAAGUCGAACGAACCCUUCGGGGUUAGUGGCGCACGGGUGAGUAACACGUGGGAACGUGCCUUUAGGCUCGGAAUAACUCAGGGAAACUUGUGCUAAUACCGAAUGUGCCCUUCGGGGGAAAGAUUUAUCGCCUUUAGAGCGGCCCGCGUCUGAUUAGCUAGUUGGUGAGGUAAUGGCUCACCAAGGCUACGAUCAGUAGCUGGUCUGAGAGGAUGACCAGCCACAUUGGGACUGAGACACGGCCCAAACUCCUACGGGAGGCAGCAGUGGGGAAUCUUGCGCAAUGGGCGAAAGCCUGACGCAGCCAUGCCGCGUGGAUGAUGAAGGUCUUAGGAUUGUAAAAUCCUUUCACCGGUGAAGAUAAUGACUGUAGCCGGAGAAGAAGCCCCGGCUAACUUCGUGCCAGCCGCCGCGGUAAAAC
rnacentral:rRNA from 1 species